AUUCUGCAUAUGGUUCUUGUCAUAUCUUUUGUCGACUCCAUUUUAGAAAACCAAGGUUUAUCCGUUAUAUAGUUUCUGAUUGAUCUGUAGUGGUUUCCUGUAUUUAUGUUUUCAUCAAUAUACCUUUCUUUCCAUUCUUUCUUAAUCUCUUUGAAUAAAUUUGAUUCAAUAUCUUUUGGCGUACAAAGAUAAUGGGUUAAUACU
rnacentral:lncRNA from 1 species